CAGUCGAACGAAGCACUUAUCUUUGAUUCUUCGGAUGAAGAGGUUUGUGACUGAGUGGCGGACGGGUGAGUAACGCGUGGGUAACCUGCCUCAUACAGGGGGAUAACAGUUAGAAAUGACUGCUAAUACCGCAUAAGACCACGGAGCCGCAUGGCUCAGUGGGAAAAACUCCGGUGGUAUGAGAUGGACCCGCGUCUGAUUAGGUAGUUGGUGGGGUAACGGCCUACCAAGCCAACGAUCAGUAGCCGACCUGAGAGGGUGACCGGCCACAUUGGGACUGAGACACGGCCCAAACUCCUACGGGAGGCAGCAGUGGGGAAUAUUGCACAAUGGGGGAAACCCUGAUGCAGCGACGCCGCGUGAGCGAAGAAGUAUUUCGGUAUGUAAAGCUCUAUCAGCAGGGAAGAAAAUGACGGUACCUGACUAAGAAGCACCGGCUAAAUACGUGCCAGCAGCCGCGGUAAUACGUAUGGUGCAAGCGUUAUCCGGAUUUACUGGGUGUAAAGGGAGCGUAGACGGCUGUGUAAGUCUGAAGUGAAAGCCCGGGGCUCAACCCCGGGACUGCUUUGGAAACUAUGCAGCUAGAGUGUCGGAGAGGUAAGUGGAAUUCCCAGUGUAGCGGUGAAAUGCGUAGAUAUUGGGAGGAACACCAGUGGCGAAGGCGGCUUACUGGACGAUGACUGACGUUGAGGCUCGAAAGC
rnacentral:rRNA from 1 species